rnacentral:rRNA from 1 species
AUGGCGGCAGCCACCAUGUCCCUCUCCUCCUCGACCUUUGCCGGCAAGGUGGUGACGAACGUUCCAUCUUUGGCUCUCUUUGGCGAGGCCCGAGUCACCAUGCGCAAGACCGCAACGAAGGUGAAGCAGGUUUCUUCUGGCAGCCCAUGGUACGGUGCUGACCGUGUGCUCUACCUCGGCCCACUCUCCGGUGAGCCCCCGAGCUACCUGACAGGUGAGUUCCCAGGUGACUAUGGGUGGGACACAGCCGGACUUUCGGCUGACCCCGAGACCUUCUCCAAGAACCGGGAGUUGGAGGUGAUCCACUGUCGUUGGGCCAUGCUUGGGGCACUUGGUUGCGUCUUCCCUGAGUUGCUCGCCCGCAACGGCGUCAAGUUCGGCGAGGCUGUUUGGUUCAAGGCCGGCUCCCAGAUCUUUAGUGAGGGUGGUCUCGACUACCUCGGCAACCCUAGCCUUGUGCACGCGCAAAGCAUCCUAGCUAUUUGGGCAUGCCAGGUCGUGCUCAUGGGUGCCGUUGAAGGGUACCGCGUCGCCGGUGGCCCACUCGGCGAGAUCGUCGACCCACUAUACCCAGGAGGCAGCUUCGACCCUCUCGGCCUAGCCGACGACCCCGAGGCAUUUGCUGAGCUCAAGGUGAAGGAGAUCAAGAACGGCCGCCUCGCCAUGUUCUCAAUGUUCGGCUUCUUUGUCCAAGCUAUCGUCACGGGCAAGGGCCCACUUGAGAACCUCGCUGACCACAUUGCUGACCCCGUCAACAAUAACGCAUGGGCAUUCGCCACCAACUUUGUCCCCGGCAAGUAA